GACGUAGGGCGCGAGCGUUGUCCGGAUUAUUGGGCGUAAAGAGCUCGUAGGCGGCUUGUCGCGUCGUCCGUGAAAACCUGGGGCUCAACUCCAGGCUUGCGGUCGAUACGGGCAGGCGUAGAGUUCGGGUAGGGGAGGACUCGGAAUUCCGUGGUGUAGCGGUGAAAUGCGCAGAUAUCAGGAAGAACACCCGUGGCGAAGGCGGCCCUCUGGGACGGUACUGACGCUGAGACGCGAAAGCGUGGGGAGCGAACGG
rnacentral:rRNA from 1 species